AGCGGCGGAUGGGUGAGUAACACGUGGGGAACCUGCCCCUAAGUCUGGGAUACCAUUUGGAAACAGGUGCUAAUACCGGAUAAUAAAGCAGAUCGCAUGAUCAGCUUUUGAAAGGCGGCGUAAGCUGUCGCUAAGGGAUGGCCCCGCGGUGCAUUAGCUAGUUGGUAAGGUAACGGCUUACCAAGGCGACGAUGCAUAGCCGAGUUGAGAGACUGAUCGGCCACAUUGGGACUGAGACACGGCCCAAACUCCUACGGGAGGCAGCAGUAGGGAAUCUUCCACAAUGGACGCAAGUCUGAUGGAGCAACGCCGCGUGAGUGAAGAAGGUUUUCGGAUCGUAAAGCUCUGUUGUUGGUGAAGAAGGAUAGAGGUAGUAACUGGCCUUUAUUUGACGGUAAUCAACCAGAAAGUCACGGCUAACUACGUGCCAGCAGCCGCGGUAAUACGUAGGUGGCAAGCGUUGUCCGGAUUUAUUGGGCGUAAAGCGAGCGCAGGCGGAAAAAUAAGUCUAAUGUGAAAGCCCUCGGCUUAACCGAGGAACUGCAUCGGAAACUGUUUUUCUUGAGUGCAGAAGAGGAGAGUGGAACUCCAUGUGUAGCGGUGGAAUGCGUAGAUAUAUGGAAGAACACCAGUGGCGAAGGCGGCUCUCUGGUCUGCAACUGACGCUGAGGCUCGAAAGCAUGGGUAGCGAACAGGAUUAGAUACCCUGGUAGUCCAUGCCGUAAACGUUGAGUGCUAAGUGU
rnacentral:rRNA from 1 species